rnacentral:misc_RNA from 1 species
ACCUUCUACCUGCCACCUGCCACCUAUAUCCGUUCAUCGUAUCACCGCCAUCUUUACUAGCCUGGUUUCGCGCGUCCCCUGGGAAGUCGUGGCCGUAAACCGUGCAAAGUAAAGGCCGCUCUGUACGUCCGCCAGCCAUACGACCUCGGUAGCCACGCCGCCGACGACGGAUCCCAUAUCCAGCUCGUCGACGCGCCCUCCCCCGGCGUCGAGGAUCGUGAUCUCCAC